rnacentral:rRNA from 1 species
UAGGGAAUCUUCCACAAUGGACGCAAGUCUGAUGGAGCAACGCCGCGUGAGUGAAGAAGGCUUUCGGGUCGUAAAACUCUGUUAUUGGAGAAGAACGUGUGUGACAGUAACUGGUCAUGCCGUGACGGUAUUCAAUCAGAAAGCCACGGCUAACUACGUG